UUAAGACGCGGCGUUCCCUGCAGUCCUAAACUAAAUGCUGCGUGUAUUUGUCGAUUUGGGAUGGCCGACAUGGGAUGAAGGAAGAUUUAGCCGCCUUCAGAGGACUGUGCCCGCUGAAGAUGUCCUUCCUGAUGGAAAGACUGCUGGUGUGGGGAAGAGACACGCAGCCUUGAAAGCAGAGAUACGGAACUCACCUGGCCCACGGAGGCUCCGUAACCUGCCUGCAUGGCCACCUGGGGAUUCCCUGGAGGCCAGGCCGCCUGGAGGAUCCCCUGGAGUUAACAGCAGGGACAUGGGCUGAAUAGGACUUGGCUGCUGGUGGCAGGGAAGAAGCUGCUCCUUCCGGCACUGGCCAAGCCUUCCUUUGCAAGCUUCGUGACGAGUCCUCCCUGGCGGGAGAGGCACGGAUCCUGACGGCUCCUGACAGCUGGGGUGGUGACACUGCUGGGCGCACGAUCUGGCCUGCAGAAGACCUGGCAGUCUAAACCAGCUCUGCACCUCUGCUUCAGGAAAUAAUUCACCUUCGGAAGACAGAUAAGGCACAGUGCGAGGAGAAAAUACCAAAAAUGGCAGAGAAAGGAAAAUUACAGCCAGUGGUUGCAAGAGGGUGAUUAUUUUGGAAGAAACCUCCAAAUCGGCCCAGGAAAUACAGGAAAGAAAGAUGGGAAAGGGGAGGCUCCAACGUGUGUUUUUACUUCCAAGAAAUGCCAAUAAAAGGACGAGAAUG